AGCUUUUUGCAGUGGCAGUAUCGUAGCUAACGAGGUUUAUCUGAGGCACAAUUAUUGCUAAUUGAAAGAUUUAAAGAAAGAAAGUGAAAAAGAUCUCAGAAGAUGGAAAAAUCUUCUAUGCUCAUGGAUCAGUAGGAUU